GUUUGUUACGUCGGAUGUGAAAACCUGAGGCUCAACCUCAGGCCUGCAUUCGAUACGGGCAAACUAGAGUUUGGUAGGGGAGACUGGAAUUCCUGGUGUAGCGGUGGAAUGCGCAGAUAUCAGGAGGAACACCAAUGGCGAAGGCAGGUCUCUGGGCCAAUACUGACACUGAGGAGCGGAAGUCUGGGGAGCGAACAGGAUUAGAUACCCUGGUAGUCCAGACCGUAAACGGUGGGCACUAGUUGUGGGAACCUUCCACGGUUUCUGCGACGCAGCUAACGCAUUAAGUGCCCCGCCUGGGGAGUACGAUCGCAAGAUUAAAACUCAAAGGAAUUGACGGGGCCCCGCACAAGCAGCGGAGCAUGCGGCUUAAUUCGACGCAACGCGAAGAACCUUACCAAGGCUUGACAUAUAGGGAAAAGUGGCAGAGAUGUCAUGUCCGCAAGGGCUCUAUACAGGUGGUGCAUGGUUGUCGUCAGCUCGCGUCGUGAGAUGUUGGGUUAAGUCCCGCAACGAGCGCAACCCUCGUUCUGUGUUGCCAGCAUUUAGUUGGGGACUCACAGGAGACUGCCGGGGUUAACUCGGAGGAAGGUGGGGAUGACGUCAAAUCAUCAUGCCCCUUAUGUCUUGGGCUGCACGCAUGCUACAAUGGCCGGUACAGAGGGCUGCAAUACCGCAAGGUGGAGCGAAUCCCAAAAAGCCGGUCUCAGUUCGGAUUGAGGUCUGCAACUCGACCCCAUGAAGUCGGAG
rnacentral:rRNA from 1 species